UUUGCUGUGAUGAGCCGUAACACUUCAGAAGUCCCAACCGAUCAAUUGGGUUCUUUCAGUGAAAUAUUCAUUUACGCUUGGCUUCUGAGCUUA
rfam:Triticum aestivum genome assembly, contig: Triticum_aestivum_CS42_TGACv1_scaffold_064161_1DL